rnacentral:rRNA from 1 species
CCACCAGGGAUUGCCCUAGUAACGGCGAGUGAAGCGGCAACAGCUCAAAUUUGAAAUCUGGCUUUCUUGGAGGCCCGAGUUGUAAUUUGCAGAGGGUGCUUUGGCAUCGGCAGCGGUCUAAGUUCCUUGGAACAGGACGUCAUAGAGGGUGAGAAUCCCGUACGUGACCGCCAGCCUUCGCCGUGUAAAGCCCCUUCGACGAGUCGAGUUGUUUGGGAAUGCAGCUCUAAAUGGGAGGUAAAUUUCUUCUAAAGCUAAAUACCGGCCAGAGACCGAUAGCGCACAAGUAGAGUGAUCGAAAGAUGAAAAGCACUUUGGAAAGAGAGUCAAACAGCACGUGAAAUUGUUGAAAGGGAAGCGCUUGCCGCCAGACGUGCCCGUGGUGGUUCUCCUCCGCGGGCAGGCCAGCAUCAGUUUGGGCGAUCGGAAAAUGGCCUCUGUCAUGUAUCUCCCUUCGGGGUGACCUUAUAGGGGAGGCGUAAUGCGAUCAGCCCGGACUGAGGACCGCGCAUCUGCUAUUGAUGCUGGCGUAAUGGCUGU